rnacentral:rRNA from 1 species
CAUUACUGAGUUUACGCUCUACAACCCUUUGUGAACAUACCUACAACUGUUGCUUCGGCGGGUGGGGUCUCCGCGACCCUCCCGGCCUCCCGCCUCCGGGCGGGUCGGCGCCCGCCGGAGGAUAACCAAACUCUGAUUUAACGACGUUUCUUCUGAGUGGUACAAGCAAAUAAUCAAAACUUUUAACAACGGAUCUCUUGGUUCUGGCAUCGAUGAAGAACGCAGCGAAAUGCGAUAAGUAAUGUGAAUUGCAGAAUUCAGUGAAUCAUCGAAUCUUUGAACGCACAUUGCGCCCGCCAGCAUUCUGGCGGGCAUGCCUGUUCGAGCGUCAUUUCAACCCUCAAGCUCUGCUUGGUGUUGGGGCCCUACAGCCGAUGUAGGCCCUCAAAGGUAGUGGCGGACCCUCCCGGAGCCUCCUUUGCGUAGUAACUUUACGUCUCGCACUGGGAUCCGGAGGGACUCUUGCCGUAAAACCCCCCAAUUUUCCAAAGGUUGACCUCGGAUCAGGUAGGAAUACCCGCUGAACUUAAGCAUAUCAA